AUUGAACGCUGGCGGCAGGCUUAACACAUGCAAGUCGAGCGGGCGAGGUUGCUUCGGUAACUGAGCUAGCGGCGGACGGGUGAGUAAUGCUUAGGAAUCUGCCUAUUAGUGGGGGACAACAUUCCGAAAGGAAUGCUAAUACCGCAUACGCCCUACGGGGGAAAGCAGGGGAUCUUCGGACCUUGCGCUAAUAGAUGAGCCUAAGUCAGAUUAGCUAGUUGGUGGGGUAAAGGCCUACCAAGGCGACGAUCUGUAGCGGGUCUGAGAGGAUGAUCCGCCACACUGGGACUGAGACACGGUCCAGACUCCUACGGGAGGCAGCAGUGGGGAAUAUUGGACAAUGGGCGCAAGCCUGAUCCAGCCAUGCCGCGUGUGUGAAGAAGGCCUUUUGGUUGUAAAGCACUUUAAGCGAGGAGGAGGCUACUUGGAUUAAUACUCUAGGAUAGUGGACGUUACUCGCAGAAUAAGCACCGGCUAACUCUGUGCCAGCAGCCGCGGUAAUACAGAGGGUGCGAGCGUUAAUCGGAUUUACUGGGCGUAAAGCGUGCGUAGGCGGCUUCUUAAGUCGGAUGUGAAAUCCCUGAGCUUAACUUAGGAAUUGCAUUCGAUACUGGGAAGCUAGAGUAUGGGAGAGGAUGGUAGAAUUCCAGGUGUAGCGGUGAAAUGCGUAGAGAUCUGGAGGAAUACCGAUGGCGAAGGCAGCCAUCUGGCC
rnacentral:rRNA from 1 species